rnacentral:misc_RNA from 1 species
GCCGAACAAUCAGGCUCAAUUCCUGAAACAUCUUGUGGGACCUCAUCAUCAGAGACAACAUGGCUGCAUUGUAACUCAGAAUUUGUAAUUAAGCACCUUGAAUUUAAAUUGCAGAACCUGCAUGGAGAAGAAGCAGAAUUGAAAUUCAUCCGUCGGCGAGUAGCGAGGCGAUAGCGAAUUCUAGAAGCAUGCGGUGCCGAUAAAGUCGCUCG